AUAAAAGGUAAGAUGUGAUGGAGCCUUUUUUUUACAUGUUUUUGUCCUCUUUUCUUUUUUUGCCAGUCUCUUCCUGAUGUACAAGGCCAGUGCGAUUACAUUCCAAACCAAAAUACACAGCCAUGGUCUCCAAAUGGAAUGUGCAUGCCUGGGGGACUGAGGGAAUUUCCCUCUCUACUCCAGAAUUCAUGCUCACCAGUCCCUGCUUACUCAUCUCUGCCGGUGCAAAUUUAACUAUAAAAGAUUCCUUUCAAGUGAUACUCCAUAGAUUUCGGACAUUGGCAGGUUCGUGGACUCUAGUCUUGUAGAAGUAAUCCGAAUGGAAUUGGAUUGCCAUGAAAAAGCAAGGUACUAUUCAGGUACUCUUCUUCCUUCUAAGAUCUGUGUUGUCUUACAGGCAUGACCUGGUGUGAAUGAAUA
rnacentral:lncRNA from 1 species